rnacentral:rRNA from 1 species
GGGCCGACAGAGUUUGAUCCUGGCUCAGAUUGAACGCUGGCGGCAUGCUUUACACAUGCAAGUCGAACGGCAGCGCGGGGCAACCUGGCGGCGAGUGGCGAACGGGUGAGUAAUAUAUCGGAACGUACCCAGAAGUGGGGGAUAACGUAGCGAAAGUUACGCUAAUACCGCAUACGAUCUACGGAUGAAAGUGGGGGACCUUCGGGCCUCAUGCUUUUGGAGCGGCCGAUAUCUGAUUAGCUAGUUGGUGAGGUAAAGGCUCACCAAGGCGACGAUCAGUAGCUGGUCUGAGAGGACGACCAGCCACACUGGGACUGAGACACGGCCCAGACUCCUACGGGAGGCAGCAGUGGGGAAUUUUGGACAAUGGGCGCAAGCCUGAUCCAGCAAUGCCGCGUGAGUGAAGAAGGCCUUCGGGUUGUAAAGCUCUUUUGUCAGGGAAGAAACGGCUGAGGUUAAUACCUUUGGCUAAUGACGGUACCUGAAGAAUAAGCACCGGCUAACUACGUGCCAGCAGCCGCGGUAAUA